GAAUCCCUCUCUCCUGUCGUGUGUCUCCCACUCCCACUGGACUUCAGUCUUCUGUCUUCCCAAGGGCUUAGUGUCUCCUUGAAACCCCCACUUUUCUAUCUUCUGUUCAUGGAAGGUUCUAGGGCUUCCUUCCAUGGAGAAUUUCUCAUGUAAACUUAAAACUCCCAGUGAAUCACUGAACUUCUUUGCCACUCAGUAAAGAAGACUUUGGCAAUUAUAUUAAUGUAGCUUUCUCUCCUCCUCCUCCCGUCCCCUCCCCCUCCCCCUCCUCUUCCUCCUCCUCCUUCUCCUCUUUUGUUGUUUUUCUGUAAACAGCUUUGAAUUAAAAUAGAGCAGGACAAGGAACCAAGGAGCGCUUGUUCCUGUUCCUAGAUCAGGAAAAGUUUCGUGGAGAGUAUGGAAGAAAACAGCUUGGCAAAUAACGGUAAUUCUUGGGAUAAGUUCCUAAAUGCCUGCAUUCUGUCCCAGGACUUCUAGCAGGUCCACACAGAAAGGUGCUUAUUGCUUCUCACAGCUGGCUCUCCAGUGCCUAGGAAGGCUUUCCUGACUCAACGAGAGCUCACUCUGAAUUUGAGCUGACAGAGUAUAUGAAUGAACUUCAUUUCAUCACUGUUAACAAACAUGAAAUAUACUCAGCCUUAAUAAUUAAAGUAAAACAGUGAUAAGCUAUGUUUCACUUGUCAGACUUACAACCAUCUGGAGAAGGAGGAGGAGGAAGAAGAGGUGAAGGACGAGUGCACACAAAUAUGUGGCUAAACUAGUCCUCUUCUCUAUUGCUGGGAGAGAAAAUUGGUGCAAUAUUUCUGAUGGGCCAUUUGCAAUCACAUAUCAAAGUCUACAGACCAAGUAAAAAAUGGGCAAACAACAGAAUCGUUAUUUCCCUAAAGAACAUAAGUGGCUGAUAAAAGAUGUUCAACAUUACUAGUCAUUAACACUAAAUACAUCAAAAUCACAAUGAGAUACCACGUUAUACCCAUUUGGGUGGAUAUUAUUAAACAAAACAAAGGAGAACAACAACAGCUGGUGUGAACGUGGAGAAACCCCGAGCAUUGGUGGUAGGAGUAUAAUGUACAGCUGUGAGAAGAACAGCUUGGGGGAAUCCUCAAAAAGUUAAACAGCGUUACCCUGUGAUCCAGUAACCCCCCCUAAGUACAGUAUAUACCCUGAAGAAUUAAAAACAGGGACUGAAAUAGACACUCAUACACUUUUAUUGACGGCAGAAUAAUUUACAAUAGGAAAAAGGUGAAAGCAACCCAAAUGUCUAUUAACAGACAUACGCAAAAGCGAAUGUGGUAUUACAGAUGCAAUGGAAUAUUAUUCAAAUUUAAAGGAAUAAAAACUGAGAUUGCAACCAAGCCGAUAAAUGUGAAAACUUUGUUCAAAUGAAACAAGCCAGACACAUAAGGACAAAAGCUGUACGACACCAUUUCUGUGAGAGGCCUAGGAAGGGCGGUCACACGGAGAGCAGAACAGAGGUUACCAGGAGCUGGGAAGGGGACUGGUGAGGAGUGGGGAGGUGAUAAUGUAGUUGGUACAAAGCCUUAUUUGGGAUGAUGAAAAAGUUCUAGAGAUGGAAGAUGGUCACACAGCAUUGUGAACGGACCUAAUGCCGCUGGGCUGUCUCCUUUCAAAUUGUUAAAAUUAUAAAUUUCGUAUUGUGUGUAUUUGAUUUUACCAAGUUUUUCAUUUGUAUUAUAGUAUAUGCAGAUUUUUAAUUCAAAAUCCAAUUCCUAAGACUUAACUCAGGAGAUAAUGCCCAGGGUGAGAUACAUAUGCACCAAUCUGUCAACCUCAAGGUCCACCAGGAAAUAUCUAUGUACACAGUGUCUGGCACGAUAAAUACACAAAAGAGACUAUUUUGCAAGCAUUAAAUAUGACAGGGUAGGGUGUUUCAGAUAAAACAAUCUCCAUUGCGUUACUGUUCAAUAAAAAAGCAAGUUACAGAAUGCAUGUAAAGUAUGAUCCUGCCAAUGUAAAAAUUCUAGAUAUUCUCCAAAUGUCAACUGGGGUUAUCCUCUCAGUGAUGGAUUUAAAAAUGGUUUUCCAAUUGCUCUCUUCAUAAUUUUCCAGACUAGUUGAAUUUUUUAUAAGGAAUAUUUUAAGCAAAGCAAAAUACGCCAUUGCAAACUCAUAGUCAUUGCUUUUCACGUUAAUUAAGAAAGGUGAGGCCUUGAUACUUGCAAUUAGACAUUUUCUGUGUUUCCUUUUCCAUAGCAACGAUACUUGUGAGUGAGUCAGAAAUGUCUGAAAGGAGAGGAACCUACCUCGGUCAGUGGUGUUAGCUCUCUGUCAUGCACAAGGAGAGCUCUUAUUUCAGAGCAACAUCCAAUUAUCAUGUUCUAGAAAUAAGAAGGAAAUAUAGUAAGGUUGAUACUACUGUAGACACUGUAUAUUACAUUGUAAACUUAUUUUAUUUGUCUUGUUUUUUAAUACCCAACUCUAAUUCUGAGGAUAAAGCAGAAGGACUCAGAAAUUACAAUUCUUAAGUAAUUAGGGUUAUUUGAAAAAAAUGAUAGCCAAAAAUAUAAGAUCUGCAAUUAAUCAAGAACAAUACAUUAUUUUCGAAUUCUGUGUCUAUUCAUUGCUGAAAGUCAUGUGUUACCGGGGAAUCACAAAUACAGUAAUUUGCACCAAAGCAAGACUUUCAGAAACUGCCUUUCUUCUGAGAAGAAAGCCUUGGAAUAAAGAGAUUCAGGCCUCAGAAAAGGGUUCACCAAAGAGGAAUGACUGGAAGUUGGGCAUGAAUAAGGAGAGGGAAUGGAAGGAAAGGCUCAGAGGCAAGAGCACGAAUACACUGCCUACCAAUGACACUGCCCACGGCCUUGACUCUUGGGACACAGCAAGGGAUAUGUGGGGGCAGCUGACCCAAGGCAGACGGACCCAGAGCCAGAGGUGAAACGCUUCCUUGUUACGUCAUCGUGUACGGAAGGACGACAGAGGAAAACUACAGUCAGUGCGAGCUGUGCGAGCUGAGAGAUCACAGGGAGGUGGGGAACGGAGCCACUGAGGCAGAUGUGAGGGCUAAGAGGAAGCCUCUGAGACGAGGGAGAAGCUAGGCCCCUGCCCACUCGUGUGCCACCGUGGCUCCUGCAUCUCUGGUUCCACUUUCUGUAAGGCCCACAUCCUUGUAAGGAACCCAUCCUUGGUGCUGCAAAAGCUAACUUCUUGCACUCUGCCACAUUUGUGCUUCCUCCCUCCUAGCCUGUUUUACCUGAGCGAGUGUCAUUUUCCUUACAACUAAAACAGUCAUGACUAUGAGACCACCAGAGAUCAGCUACGCCCACCCCACAAUGCUCCCAGCACGCAGCCCCAAAGGAAGCAGCCAUUUGCUUUAUGUAGUAGUACAUACAUGUACUAGCAUUCAGAACAUCAACAUGAUAAAAUACAUUAAUUUUAAAAUUAUGACUGAGUGAUGCUGGUUAAAACCUGAAAACAAAGUGGCAAACGACAGUAGACCUUACAGCCCCAAACCAUGUUAUAUCUAAGUUUUAAUAAGUGUGUAAACAUGGAAACGAUCCAAUUCCAGAGUUACAAAACUACAGCUAAUUCAAUUCCUUUUAACAAAUGUAUGCAAGAUAUUAUAUUAAGUCCCAUGCGACACAAAGAUGAAGAAACAUAAAAUCCUCAAAAUAUCUGUAAUUACUGAGAAAAAAGGAUUAAAAACCCAACUAAAUUAGGUACCAAGCAGAAUAUGCUCAGCUGACCUAUUACAGGACCCUAGAGGAGGAAAGAGUAUGAUAUCUCAGUAUGAUAAACAAGGAGGACUUCUUGGAAGAAGGUUCACGGAGCUGAGCCUUGAAAGAGUCAGGGGCUUUCAAGCAGAGUGGGGGGACAGAGGUACCAGGUGGCGAGAGCUAUUUAGGUAACAAGCAGGGGACAUUCGGGGAACACAGGAGAUCUGACACCGCCUCUAUCUGCAGGUGAGUCUUGGAAGCACAGCGGUGCAGGUGGUGACAAACAGGCCGACAAGCACAUUUAUAAGAAGAACUUAUUCAAGAGUGAGGAGUUUAGCUUUUAUUGCAGGGAACUGGACAGAGAUUGCCUUUAAAAUUUUUCUGACCGUGCCUUAAAGGCAAACUGGUCUGGAAAAAGACAAGUGAGAGACAGAGAUCAGCUAGGAGGCCACUCAGACUGUCUGGACACAGUUGAUUUUGGCUGGAAAUGGCAGGGCCCCGUGGUACUAAAAAUGGUGGAAGGCAGGCAAAAGGCCCACAGCACCGAACAGGAUCACCCGAUGGCAAACCUUCCAGGCUCCUGGCUCACUGGACCAGACAGAGAGGAGCACACACCUACUCCUGUAACUCUGCCUUCGCUAUAAAUCUAUAUUCCUCACUGAGUUCCCGGGCCUGGCUGAAGUAUGUUUUCUUGCAGUAACAGCCAUGAUUGGUUACUGCCCUAAUUCCAUCACGAGCUAUCAAGGAGAAUGAUACUGACCGUAUCAUUAAUCACCUCACGUAACACAUGAAGGGGCGACAUUACCCUGAUAGAUGCCGUCGGACACCUGUCUCAACACUGGUCAAAAAGAAAUCCCCUCUCAUCCACAGUCGAUUACUCUGGCAUUAUUUGAGGAAAACCACAUACACACACUGUGAGACUGGCUCAUCUGAGGCUGGGGCUGCGAACCCCUCCUGUGACCUUGCUACCACAGACGCAGAGACAGGCAGAAAGCAGAGCUCAUCAGUCGAAGUCAGAAAGUGGCCGGAAGCAUGCUGUCGCUGGUGAGGGGCAGGACUGUCUCUUGCUCAGUUUUUGCUAAGUCUCCCUUCAAAACAACAUUUGUCGAAUUUACGCAGAUGGCCCCUGAGUGACUAAAGCUUAGAGGUGCAGAGGUUACAGUUCUCCUGCAGCCCCUGGAUUGCUCUUGAGAAGGUUGCUAUAAAAAGUGCGAGCCUAUCCUGCUAUGCCCUUCCUCUGAUCCCAAGUCAAGGUGUGACCCCUCUUCAGUUGGCGCUGCACCACCUGCAGUCCACCACAGGCCCUUGCUAGAGCCAUGCUGCUCCAUGCUGUUCAAAUCUCCAAAACACGAGCUAAAUAAACCUCUUUUCUUUAUAAGUAGUCUGCCUCAAAUUUCAGUUACAAAAAAACAAAACAAAGCAAAACAAAAACUGGCUGUUAUGGUUGGAGAAAAGAUUUAGGAAUUCUGCUGUGUGUGAUUAAAGGAAUCACCUACAGAUCUUCCUAAAAAAGACUCCAUAUAAAGAAUAAGAAA